rnacentral:rRNA from 1 species
GUAGGGAAUCUUGCGCAAUGGGCGAAAGCCUGACGCAGCCAUGCCGCGUGAAUGAUGAAGGUCUUAGGAUUGUAAAAUUCUUUCACCGGGGACGAUAAUGACGGUACCCGGAGAAGAAGCCCCGGCUAACUUCGUGCCAGCAGCCGCGGUAAUACGAAGGGGGCUAGCGUUGCUCGGAAUUACUGGGCGUAAAGGGCGCGUAGGCGGAUCGUUAAGUCAGGGGUGAAAUCCCAGAGCUCAACUCUGGAACUGCCCUUGAUACUGGCGAUCUUGAGUGUGAGAGAGGUAUGUGGAACUCCGAGUGUAGAGGUGAAAUUCGUAGAUAUUCGGAAGAACACCAGUGGCGAAGGCGACAUACUGGCUCAUUACUGACGCUGAGGCGCGAAAGCGUGGGGAGCAAACAGGAUUAGAUACCCUGGUAGUCC